rnacentral:rRNA from 1 species
UACGGGGGGAGCAAGCGUUGUUCGGAUUUACUGGGCGUAAAGGGCGCGUAGGCGGUCAGCACAAGUCAGUUGUGAAAUCUCCGGGCUUAACCCGGAAAGGUCAACUGAUACUGUGCGACUAGAGUGCGGAAGGGGCAACUGGAAUUCUCGGUGUAGCGGUGAAAUGCGUAGAUAUCGAGAGGAACACCUGCGGCGAAGGCGGGUUGCUGGGCCGACACUGACGCUGAGAAGCGAAAGCAUGGGGAGCGAACAGG